GACGAACCGUGCGAACGUUAUUCGGAAUCACUGGGCUUAAAGCGCGUGUAGGCGGGCCACCACGUCGGUCGUUGAAAGCCCCCGGCUCAACCGGGGAACCGGCGCCGAUACGAGUGGCCUGGAGGGGGGUAGGGGGACCUGGAACUUCCGGUGGAGCGGUGAAAUGCGUUGAGAUCGGAAGGAACGCCCGUGGCGAAAGCGAGGUCCUGGACCCCAUCUGACGCUGAGACGCGAAAGCCAGGGGAGCGAACGGG
rnacentral:rRNA from 1 species